GGGAAAUCCUUGGGAAAGUUCGACCUGCUUCCCUUGAGUUUGGGAGGUACGUGGGCACUUUGAGACUGCUGCCUGCCUCUAUCUUCAGAAUUCCCGAGAAGGGAGAUUGGCCGGAGCAGUUGCAAGGAAGGUGAGGAGAGAGGGCCAGCAUGGAAGCAACCUGUACUCUCAUCAUUUGGCAGGUCCAGCCUGAAAGGGUACCAUGAAAAAUCCAAGUCAUCUUGAAGGCACCUGAUUCAAUGCCUACUGCUACUGUAAUGAAUGACCACAAACGUAAAGGUUUAAAGCAAUACAAAUUUACCCUCUUAUAGUUCCAGACAUCAGAAGUCUAAAAUGGGUCUGUAGGGUUGCUUGUCUUAUGGAGGCUCCAGGAAAGAAUCCACCAUCUUGCCUGUUCUGGGUUGAAGAGGUUGCCUACAUUCCUUGGCAUGUGGCCUCUUCUGCCAUCUUCAGAGCCAGCAACAUAGCAUCUUCUCUCCUCUCUGUCCUCUGCCUCCAUCCUCAAAUCUUCUAUGACUGAUCCUCCUGCUUCCCUCUGAUAAGAACUCUUUUGAUUGCAUUAGGCCCACUUGGAUAAGCCAUGAUUAUUUCCCCAUCUCAAGAUUCUUAAGUCAACCAUAUCAACCAAAGUCCUUCUACCACAUAAGGGAAUAUUAACUGUGUCUGGGGGUUAUGACAUAGAAAGCACCCAACCCACAAUGGGGGCUUAUUGGGUCAUAGGGACCCAAGCAAUAAGAAGCUUGUAGUAUACCAUGGGCAAGGAAGGAUCAUCUCAAGAGAGUCAGAAAGAACAUAUCCAAGUUAGAAUUCUCAGUGGGCUUCCAAGGCAUCAUGUAAACAUUGUUCUAUGAAGGAGCCCUUCACUUCACAGAGGGCAAUGACACUGCAUUCUAGCACCUCCAAGUAAGGUCUUGUGGGUUUAUCUCUAAAACCCAUCCCAAAUUCAAC
rnacentral:lncRNA from 1 species